CGCAAGACUGCCUUACUGACGUCAAAGGAAAGGCCUGCCCACUGUCACCCCAGUACAUCUGGUAUACAGAAUCGUUUUGUUAACUGUUGCUGAAGUCCCGAAAAUAGACCUUGAUAACCCUAGGCUGGAGUAAAGCUGCAGCUCCGGAGGCUAACCCUGUGUAUUUCCUCUGUUUCCUCAGCAGUCCUCUACAGACCAACCCCCGCUCUUGCACUGCUGGAGGGCUCACGACAGCACACUGGUCAGCGUGGAGCUCCUGACCUUCAAUGACCAACUUUUCCUUUUAAGUGCCUCAACAGAUCAGACAGCUCGUCUGUGGUGCUGGGAUGGCCAAUAUGUGGGCUUCUUUGGGCAGGAUCAGAAAUGGAACCUCCACGAUCCCACAACCUACCAGCUCUUGAGAGACCCCUGGGGUAAUUGUAAGGUUGCAGUGGAGGAGGUUGGGAGCGGAAGCAGGCAGUCGUACGGCUGUGAGGACCAGGGGCCAGGAAAGGCAGCCGCUACUGGGGAGAGUCAUGGUUCUAGAACACAAACGUCAUCUCCACCGAAGCAUGGGAUGAUUCUGGAAGGCUCCAUCAACCCACAGGGUGAUUCUCAUCAGACAGCAAACAAAACGGCUGCACUGAGGCCGCAGGUGUCACAGGACCUGCAGAAGAGGAGAGCUGCUCGGCAGGAGCGCCGCUUAGCUUUUCGGAGCAUAGAUGCUAGCAAGAUGUCUCGUGUCAGUGGUGUCUGCACACCGUUCCAGGCCCUAGCCAUGCAGGAGUGCAAAGAGUUUCAGCUGCCCAGGGAUUUACCCAUGAGCACCUGGAUGCUGAGGCAGGGCUUGAGGAGCAUCCUAGAAACAGGUCUGGGGUCUUCACCUCAGUCAACAUGCAGCUCCAGCACUGAACGGGCAGAGGACGUGGUGUGAGCCCACGCACUGAGAACGACUAGCCUCCACCAUCCCAUAUCCUCCCGGGGCACUGUAGCCUAACGGAAGGAACGUAGCACAUCGGUGCGGACACACUAGUUGAGACAGUCCAGGAGUCCGGUUGACUGAACUUUCAGUUAAGCGGUCAGCUACUGGCAAGAUAUACAGUCAUGUAUCCCUUUCUGUUAUUACGACUACUGCCAUUACCGAUUAUUGUGCCAUAAAAAAUAUUACUGUUUAUUGUGCCAUAAAUAUUCCCGUCAUUCACCAAACAAGGUAACAUACUAAUUUUGACGGCAAUUCAGGCUAAAACUCACAGGAGCAGAUCAAACAAAUUCAGCAAUAAAGAGUACGAGUUACUUUCA
rnacentral:lncRNA from 1 species